GAUGAAGAACUCAGCAAAAUGCGAUAAGUAAUGUGAAUUGCAGAAUUCAGUGAAUCAUCGAAUCUUUGAACGCACAUUGCGCCCGCCAGUAUUCUGGCGGGCAUGCCUGUUCGAGCGUCAUUUCAACCCUCAAGCACAGCUUGGUGUUGGGACUCGCGUUAAUUCGCGUUCCUCAAAUUGAUUGGCGGUCACGUCGAGCUUCCAUAGCGUAGUAGUAAAACCCUCGUUACUGGUAAUCGUCGCGGCCACGCCGUUAAACCCCAACUUCUGAAUGUUGACCUCGGAUCAGGUAGGAAUACCCGCUGAACUUAAGCAUAUCAAUAAGCGGAGGA
rnacentral:misc_RNA from 1 species